rnacentral:rRNA from 1 species
GCGCACCAGGCGAGAAAACUUCGCAAUACGCGCAAGCGUGACGAGGGAACCCCAAGUACUCCUGCUUUUUGCAGGAGUUUUUGCCAAGUGUAAACAGCUUGGAGAAUAAGGGCGGGGUAAGGCCGGUGCCAGCCGCCGCGGUAAUACCGGCCGCCCGAGUAGUGACCACUAUUAUUGGGCCUAAAGCGUCCGUAGCCGGCUCAACAAGUCUCCCGUUAAAUCCAACGAUUCAAUCGUUGGACUGCGGGAGAUACUGCUGGGCUAGGAGGCGAGAGAGGCCGACGGUAUUCCCGGAGUAGGGGUGAAAUCUUAUAAUUCCGGGAGGAGCACCAGUGGCGAAGGCUGUCGGCUAGAACGCGCUCGACGGUGAGGGACGAAAGCUGGGGGAGCGAACCGGAUUAGAUACCCGGGUAGUCC